UACGUAAGUGGCGAGCGUUAUCCGGAAUUACUGGGCGUAAAGCGUGCGUAGGCGGUUUAGUGUGUGGGAUUUGAAAGCCCGGGGCUCAACUCCGGACCUGCAUCCGAAACUGCCCGACUAGAGGUAGGUAGGGGAGAUCGGAAUUCCUGGUGUAGCGGUGAAAUGCGCAGAUAUCAGGAGGAACACCGGUGGCGAAGGCGGAUCUCUGGGCCUUACCUGACGCUCAGGUGCGAAAGCUAGGGGAGCGAACAGG
rnacentral:rRNA from 1 species